rnacentral:rRNA from 1 species
UACGGAGGGGGUUAGCGUUGUUCGGAAUUACUGGGCGUAAAGUGUACGUAGGCGGAUUAGUAAGUCGGUGGUGAAAUCCCGGGGCUCAACCCCGGAACUGCCUCCGAAACUACUAGUCUUGAGAUCGUGAGAGGUGAGUGAAAUUCCGAGUGUAGAGGUGAAAUUCGUAGAUAUUCGGAGGAACAUCAGUGGCGAAGGCGGCUCACUGGCACGAUACUGACGCUGAGGUACGAAAGUGUGGGGAGCAAACAGG